CCGCCCGUCACACCAUGGGAGUGGAUUGCACCAGAAGUGGCUGUGCUAACCCGCAAGGGAGGCAGGCCCCCAAGGUGCGGUUCAUGACUGGGGUG
rnacentral:rRNA from 1 species